rfam:Fungal sp. No.14919 DNA, contig: Contig0002.
GGCUAGAUGGCGGAGUGGUUAACGCGGUAGACUCGAAUAAAUCGUGUGAUCUACUUCCUUCGGGAGCGUCUGUUCGAAUCAGGCUCUAGUCG